GGGGGUGCACUGGUUUCGACGGGGGUCGCGAAGUCGCUUGGCGCAUGCCGAGGGGGCAGCUUUCCUCGUUAAUCCAGCAGCAAACUUUUAGUUGCCAACGACGACAACUACGGUUCGGACUUCGCUAUCGCCGCUUAAUUGGCUUUAGUUGUAGUUCUACAGCCGCCUAAGGCGAACCCCCGAAACUACUUGUGCCCGUGCUCGUAGAUGUAGGGUCAUUAUCACGGAACCGCCGGUAGUGGCUGCCUGUCAGCUAUCGGUUAGAUCAAGCAGGCUGGUUUU
rnacentral:tmRNA from 1 species